rnacentral:lncRNA from 1 species
UUAGAAACUUUAUGGUUCAAUUAAUAGAGUAUCCGCCCUCGAUCGCGGACUCACAAUUAGUAGAGUAUCCGCCAUAUUUUUAUUCUCUUUUGAUGACCGCGCUAUUUACUAGUUAUACUAUAAAACCGAGCUGUACCUGUAUGCAUAAAGCUUGAGCUUUGAAGCAACAAUAGUUCCGCUACUGCAUUUACCAGAAGAAAGAAGUUGGAGCAAGAGAAAAAUGAGAAUAAUACACUACUAAAUCGUAAUACAUCUGUAUUUUACACAUGACCGUUUGCACCCCAUGGAUCUGUCUGUACGGACAUGAUGAAUCAUACGGAACAGGAAGUACAAAGUGGAACCUUUUCAAAGUAACAUGUAGUUAUAUCAGAAUGUCAAGAUAACUCCCGAUUCGAGUGGUACCUCUCCAUACCCUUAUUUGUGAUAAGGAAUUUGAAACCCAGAAACUGCUCACCCUGAAUUCAAAUCAGCAAGAACUUAUAUAUAUGAACCUGAAAUUACUGUAACUUUGAGGUAAAUAAAUCAAAUAACUUUUUACAAGAAUCAAUCUAUUCUUUACCAUCUAUCCAUUUGUUUCAUUUUCUCACCAACCCAAUACCUAAAAUUAAAACAAAUUGAAAGUUCUAUACUGAAUACAAGAAAAGAGACAAUUACCUGUAACUUUUACUUUCUGAAAGGAAGCAGAGCACCAAUGUUCCCAAAUUCCGCAUCCCCAACAAAAAGUAAGAUCCAUACAAUUUUUUUGCCUUAUUAAAAUAUCCGCCCUAGAUCGCGGACUCACAAUAACCAAGCACUCAUGAACAAGAAUUAGAACUUUGAAUAGCUGAGGAAAUAAUAAUAUAUUGUCUUGAUAUUCGUGUUAUAGUAUCCCUAAUGAAUAAUCAGACCCCCUUUAUAUAGUAUGAGAGUUUUACCCUAACCACAAUUCUAUGAAAGGUAAAAAAUCUUCUGUUUAACCAAUCACUGGUUCUGUGCCGAUAAGUGCCGUGAUAUCCGGCUGGUCACGGAUAUCAUGGCCUUUUGUUGGUCGUGCUCAGUUACCUGGUAGUGUUCCCCGAGGCCAUUGGGAUUCAAACCGAACUUGGGGUCAUGGCCCCGAUACUCCCAGGCCGGGUGCUUUGCCCAGACUCCGACUCGAGGGGCUCCUGGUCUCGAUUCUUGUUCCCUGCCGUUACGUCUCUUGCUCCGUUUGCUUCAUCGGAAGACGAUGCCUCUCAUGGGCUCGGUUUUACCCGUAUACAUAUACAAAUAUAUAAAAUAUUUAAAAGACAAAUAAUAUGUACCAGAAUGAGUAUAUUAUUGAAACUUAGACAAAGGCAAAAAGUAAGGAUG